rnacentral:misc_RNA from 1 species
GAACUGCGAUAAGUAAUGUGAAUUGCAGAAUUCAGUGAAUCAUCGAGUCUUUGAACGCACAUUGCGCCCCCUGGCAUUCCGGGGGGCAUGCCUGUCCGAGCGUCAUUGCUGCCCUUCAAGCCCGGCUUGUGUGUUGGGUCGUCGUCCCCUCCGGGGGACGGGCCCGAAAGGCAGCGGCGGCACCGCUUCCGGUCCUCGAGCGUAUGGGGCUUUGUCACCCGCUCGAUAAGGACCGGCCGGGCGCCAGCCGGCGUCUCCAACCUUUUUUUCUCAGGUUGACCUCGGAUCAGGUAGGGAUACCCGCUGAACUUAAGC